GACGUAGGGGGCGAGCGUUGUCCGGAAUUACUGGGCGUAAAGAGCACGUAGGCGGGAACUUAAGUCAGGUGUGAAAGACCGAGGCUCAACCUCGGGUAUGCACUUGAAACUGGGUUUCUUGAGGGCAGGAGAGGAAAGCAGAAUUCCUGGUGUAGCGGUGAAAUGCGUAGAAAUCAGGAGGAAUACCAGUGGCGAAGGCGGCUUUCUGGACUGACCCUGACGCUGAGGUGCGAAAGCGUGGGUAGCAAACAGG
rnacentral:rRNA from 1 species